GAUGAACGCUGGCGGCGUGCCUAAUACAUGCAAGUAGAACGCUGAAGGAAGGAGCUUGCUCUUUCCGGAUGAGUUGCGAACGGGUGAGUAACGCGUAGGUAACCUGCCUGGUAGCGGGGGAUAACUAUUGGAAACGAUAGCUAAUACCGCAUAACAGUGGAUGUUGCAUGAUAUCUACUUAAAAGGUGCAAUUGCACCACUACCAGAUGGACCUGCGUUGUAUUAGCUAGUUGGUGAGGUAACGGCUCACCAAGGCGACGAUACAUAGCCGACCUGAGAGGGUGAUCGGCCACACUGGGACUGAGACACGGCCCAGACUCCUACGGGAGGCAGCAGGAGGGAAUCUUCGGCAAUGGACGGAAGGCUGACCGAGCAAAGCCGCGUGAGUGAAGAAGGGUUUCGGAUCGGAAAGCUCUGUUGUAAGAGAAGAACGAGUGUGAGAGUGGAAAGUUCACACUGUGACGGUAGCUUACCAGAAAGGGACGGCUAACUACGUG
rnacentral:rRNA from 1 species